UACGUAGGGUGCGAGCGUUAAUCGGAAUUACUGGGCGUAAAGCGUGCGCAGGCGGUUCGCUAAGACCGAUGUGAAAUCCCCGGGCUUAACCUGGGAACUGCAUUGGUGACUGGCGGGCUAGAGUAUGGCAGAGGGGGGGUAGAAUUCCACGUGUAGCAGUGAAAUGCGUAGAGAUGUGGAGGAAUACCGAUGGCGAAGGCAGCCCCCUGGGCCAUACUGACGCUCAUGCACGAAAGCUGGGGAGCAAACAGG
rnacentral:rRNA from 1 species